UGGAUAGCCUGCUCUUUUGGGACAAAAUCCAAAUGCUGGUUCCAACAAAGGACCCUGGCCUGCUGGGAACAUCAAAAGAUUCCCCCAGACGCCUGACAGGUACACACAGAAGUUCUAGCCCAGACGACAGUCAGGGUGACACAAAGUCUUUCUGCUUUCAAGGACCAGAACAUCAAAUAUUCAGAAGUAACUACUGUCCAACAUCUAAUUAGAGAGGGACUGAUAUCUCAGCGUCACGCACAAAUGCAGACUCCUCAGCCACAGGAGACCUUCACGUGAAAUACAACAGCUUGACUCACCUUCUUGACUUCUGUUACAGAAUAUCUCACUGCACAGCCUAAGUGUUUGUUUGGGAACAGUGCAUUCAAACCUGGUGGAACCACGGCAGCAAAUCUUACCAAAUAAUCAUUAUACAAAUCAGAAGCAACAGGUCAGUGCCAUGAGAACAGACUAAUACAGCCUCUUACAUAAACCUGGCCCUCAACCAAUGAUAGGUUUAUAGAUAUGCUGCUAGGACUGGGUUAAUAGAAGCACGUGACUGGAUAUCUGAAACUGUAAAUCGAGGAACGGACCCUGCUGAUGAAAUGGAGCUAUAGAAUCUUUUUAACAAGUACUACAGUCUGCUGGGUUUUUCAGCAUUGACCACGAAGAUGAUGUUGAUUUCCUGGCCAGGUUUUCUCAGCUGGUCACAGGAGAGAGACAGUCACUGAUAGUUAGCUGGACUACGUGAAUUCAGAAUGGGGAUAUCAAGAAUGCUCAAGAGGCACUAGAAGCUGCUGAAACAAGGAUGGCACUGACGCUGCGGUGACUAGCUCCUGAUGACGGGACCUCCUCUAAGAUACUGGCUUUUGCUGUGAUUAUGUUCAGAUUUUGAAACAUCUUAGAUCAGCAGAAAGCCGGUGCAGCGGCAAUCAUGUCAGUUGCCACAAAGGAACUUAUGAUGAAGACCCUAUCUUUGAAAACGAGAGUAACGAUGAAGCCAUGUUUGUCAACUAUAAAAAACAACAGAAGUUACUGUUGGACCGGCUAGCUCAAGCUUCACCAAGGUACUGCUGACUCCUGCGCAGUUUAUAUUUCGACACCACAGCACUGGUAGGCUACACGGUUUACAGAAGCUGCAGGAGCAGCAGGCUUGCUAUAGAAAUUGACAGAAGCUCUUCCAGGAUCUCAUGGUGCCCCCUUCUCAGGUGCUGGUUCAAUGGCUAGUGCUCUGCAAAUAUGACACAGCCGUUGGUAAUGUCAGGAGUUAGCUCUUAUGUGUGACAUGAGUUUUUCGGAACUUGUCAGACAGGAAAGUUCUUUACUGCUGAAUCUCAACACAUUCCGUGGGUAUUAAUGGCUUUCUUAGAUCACAGGGGGUCUGCAACACUGUAGCGCAAAAGCGUGCAGCGGAACUGCUUGGCAGUUCUUUAGAUUUGUCAGAUCUCUCAAGAAACAAUGAAUCCUUUCACUGAGGAUAUUCUCAAUAGAAUAGAAGACUUAUCAGGGCUUUCUCCACUGAGAAUGGUUAGCAGUCCUUACUGAAGAACAAUAAUCAACUAUUUGUUUACAAGACAGCCGGAAUACCAAUUAUUGACAGUAAACACCCAUCAAAAAGGAAGCAAGCAUUAAUUGAGGAAUCUGUAGACUCCACUGAUGGAAAAGUUUAAACUUCUGUUAGGAACACUGAUGCUGACCGCAGGGGAAGAAAGGCAGGCAUCUAUAACAGACUGCUUCAACCAUGGUGCUGGACUUGCCAGAGCAGCGAGCAGACUGGGGAAUGGCGUGGCUGUUCAGAGGCUCUGAACUGUUUACAGAUAUUCUCAUCAGCCCUCAGCUGUGCCUUACAGAAGGAUAUGCUCAGAAGCAGAGGUCCCAUGUUCUUCCUCAUUGCAUGAUUACUUGCCUGGAGGAAGAAGUCCUUCUGUUCCUCUUGUCUGCUCAGACAUGUGCUCAAAGACUAUGAAGGAAGAGACCCCCAGGAACUCAUUCCUUUUAUCAAGCAGAUUACAGCCAAGCCUAAGACACAGGUAUCCCCAUUUUACGACAGAUGUUCAUGCCUCUGCUCAUGCAGUUGUUGAAGAAUUGCUCUGACCAGCAGAAGAAAACAACCAGUCUGCUGCUGAGAAAGGCAGAUGCUGCCGAGGAGUUACUUUGCCUCCCUUCUGUCAGUCACAGGCAGUGGAAUGAGUGAAGGUACAGAGAACAGAGAAUGAGUGCUGGUUACUGUCUCACAGGAGCAGCUGAAUAUCCAGAUCCAAGUGCACAGAAACGGGUUUUGUCCUUCAAAGUUGAGAACCUCAGGGAGGUUUGGAGGGACUGUGGGAUUUCUUGCUCCUGUUUAUAAGUGCAUUGCCCCCAUGUGGUUCCCAGAACCUUGAAAACAAAUCUCUGUCCUGGCAGAUGCACAAACAGUACUGCCUUAUGUGGUUACACAGUGACACUGAGAACAGUGCAUCUCCGAUGCAGCCCAGGAUGCACUGAGCAUCUUCACCAAGGAAACCUGCCCUCCUCGCACGCCGCCCCAGGAAUGAUUUAGGACUUUUGUCAAGUGCUUCAGCAGCCUGAGGCUAAAGUUUUAUGAGAAUUCUUUAAAGGUACUCUUCCAGGGCGGGAACCCUAAGGACUGCAUCUCCCUGGGUCUACUUCACAAUGAGAAUUCCAGUUAAUAAUUUAGGGGGGAAAAAAGCAAUUUUUGUGUGCCAUUCACACUAGUAUUUUUAACACUGCUUUGGGCUUACUGCAGUACACUUACUGAGGAUUUUCUG
rnacentral:lncRNA from 1 species